UUCGGCCCGCCGCGUGCCAGGUCACGUCCCGUGCCAGCUUCGGAUGAAGAGCGGCCCGAACAGAAGGACGCGGCUUCAGUCGGAGUCCAGAGGAGAGCUGGACGGAGCGGCGCAGGUCCGUCCACCUCGACCCCCGCAGCCCACGCCGGCGCAGCUCGAGGCCGAAAAACCUGCUGGAUUUGCCUUUUCGGAAGUACUGACCCCGCCGCUCACCCGCUCCCCGUUUCCGCGGGAUUCGGUAGUGAAGCUGCUCCGCUCUGGAACGGAGGUCGCAAAAGCCGAGCGCGGCGGCGGAGCGUCGGGGGUGAGUGGAAACCGCGAACUCGCGUGCGACUAUCGCUGAAAAAAGUGAAGGAUGGUUGCGAGGGGAAGGGAAGACGCGGAAAAAGAGGAUCGUGAAAGAGGAGGUGCGCGGGAGGAGGGGGGGGGGCGUUUAUUCAAGCCUGCCCCGAUGCUCCUCGGGCCUUCGAGAGCCGAUCGCAUGUGCCGUGGUAACCGCAGGACCAUUUGCAUGUGGCAGACACGCUAAUUGUGUGUUUGCUAACACGCACCAUUCAGCGAGACGCGCUCCAGUCCGCAGACGGGGUUCACACACGCCUCCCAGACGCCCCGGAGGCCUCCUAUUGUUCCAGAGGCCCAGCCGAGCAGCCGGCGAGCCUAAAACCAGAGCCCUGCGCGGACCUGCCGAGAGGGGGAACUGGAAUUCGAGACCAGACGGGACGGCGGAGCGGGACGCGCUCGCGUGCCCCCUCUCUCUCUCUCUCUCUCUCUCUCUCUCUUUCCUUCCCUCCGCAGCAAGAAAAAAGCGGCCUGUGGAAAGCGCUGCCUCCGGACGCCGACGUCCUCGCAGACGCGCGACCUGGACGGACCCGGCGAGCGUGAAGCGGGAUCCCGAUGUGCAUUCAAUGCAGACAGGCAGAAAGACCCCGCAGGCGCCGCUUGGUGAGUGAGUUGAUUUUCAGUCGGGCUGCAGCCAGGACACCUCUCUCCGGCGUAUCCCACUGUCCUUUGGGGUGAGGUAGUAGGUUGUAUAGUUUUAGGGUGACGCCCUUCCUGUUAGAUAACUAUACAACUUACUGUCUUUCCUGAAGAGGCUGUAAUAUCACCGUCAUCUUCCCCACCACGGAUGAACCCGUUCAUCUUUUCAAUUCAAUUUUAUUUUAAAAUGUUCAGUAUUCAUUUUAAGUCCAGGUAAACUUUUGUGUGUGUGUGUGUGUGUGUGUGUGUGUGUGUGUGUGUGUGUGUGUGUGUGUGUGUGUGUGUGUGUGUGUGUGUGUGUGUGUGUGUGUGUGUGUGUGUGUGUGUGUGUGUGUGUGUCUAAUUUUGUAUAAAAUAUGUAUAAAUAUAAUUUUGUAAUUUUGAUGUUUGAAAUGUGGUAAGUAGCUGAAAUAAGACUUUUUUUAUUAUAAUUUUUUUUUGUUUAAAUAACUUGGUAGUGUGUGUGUGUGUGUGUGUGUGUGUGUGUGUGUGUUUUAAUAUAUUUUUAGUUUUUUCCUGAUUUCAUUCUUAAUUUUAGUCAAGGUUUUGGUGUGU